GCCCCGCCCGGGGGCGCCUCGUGCAAGCCGGGCUGCGGAUAAUUCGGCGAGUGCCGCAUCAUUGAAUAACCCCGAAAGCC
rnacentral:sRNA from 12 species